CCUACGGGAGGCAGCAGUGAGGAAUAUUGGUCAAUGGGCGCGAGCCUGAACCAGCCAAGUAGCGUGAAGGAUGACUGCCCUACGGGUUGUACACUUCUUUUAUAAAGGAAUAAAGUGAGGCACGUGUGCCUUUUUGUAUGUACUUUAUGAAUAAGGAUCGGCUAACUCCGUGCCAGCAGCCGCGGUAAUACGGAGGAGCCGAGCGUGAUCCGGAUUUAUUGGGUGUAAAGGGAGCGUAGAUGGGUUGUUAAGUCAGUUGUGAAAGUUUGCGGCUCAACAGUAAAAUUGCAAUUGAUACUGGCAGUCGUGAGUACAGUUGAGGUAGGCGGAAUUCGUGGUGUAGCGGUGAAAUGCUUAGAUAUCACGAAGAACACCGAUUGCGAAGGCAGCUUACUAGACUGCAACUGACAUUGAUGCUCGAAAGUGUGGGUAUCAAACAGGAUUAGAUACCCCUGUAGUC
rnacentral:rRNA from 1 species